GGGUUAGGGUUAGGGUUAGGGUUAGGGUUAGGGUUAGGGUUAGGGUUAGGGUUAGGGUUUUUCUCUCCACUGAUUCCUUGCACAGCGACACCCUCUCCAACAGGACGGGGGCGUGACGGUGUACUGGUGUACUGGUUAGGGUUAGGGUUAGGGUUAGGGUUAGGGUUAGGGUUAGGGUUAGGGUUAGGGUUUUUCUCUCCACUGAUUCCUUGCACAGCGACACCCUCUCCAACAGGACGGGGGCGUGACGGUGUACUGGUGUACUGG
rnacentral:misc_RNA from 1 species